AGCGGGUGCUGUGGCCAUGCCUGCAGUCCCAGCUACUCGGCAGUCUGAGGCAGGAGGAUUGCUUGAGUCCAGGAGUUCUGGGCUGUAGUGUGCUAUGCAGAUUGGGUGUACACACUAAUUUGGCAUCAAUAUGGUGACCUUCAGAGCCAGGGACCACCAGAUUGCCUAAGGAGGGAGUGAAUCUACCCGGGUUGGAAACAUAGCAGGUCAAAACUCCUGUGCUGAUCAGUAGUGGGAUCACGACUGUGAAUAGCCAGUGCACUCCAGCCUGGGCAACAUAGCAAGAUUCCAUCUCUC
ensembl:misc_RNA Metazoa_SRP Metazoan signal recognition particle RNA